UACGUAGGGUGCAAGCGUUGUCCGGAAUUAUUGGGCGUAAAGGGCUCGUAGGCGGUCCAUCACGUCGGGAGUGAAAAGCUGGGGCUUAACCCCAGUCCUGCUUCCGAUACGGGUGGACUAGAGGUAGGCAGGGGAGAACGGAAUUCCUGGUGUAGCGGUGAAAUGCGCAGAUAUCAGGAGGAACACCGAUGGCGAAGGCAGCUCGCUGGGACGGUACUGACGCUGAGGCGCGAAAGCGUGGGGAGCGAACAGG
rnacentral:rRNA from 1 species